UUCUUUCCUUCGCCUGUGCUGAUAAAUUUCUUUCUGAAAGCAGCCAGAGGUUUUAAUGGGUGUUUUCAUAGAGAGAGUUCCUGACCCCUCCUGGCUCAACACUAGGGAGCUUUAAGCAGAACGGAAAAUGAAUACAAACCGGAAUAUGUUGGGAAGAUACAGUAGAGAAGACUUGUGUGGAUCCCUGAGCCAGUACAAAUGCCUGCUUAAUUAGAAAAUCAAUCUUGGCUGUCCGGGUGACAGAUAGGAAUCCUCUGUUGGAGAUGAGAAAGAGAGUCCAGUCAUGGAAUGCAUCCAAAGUUGUGGAGAGAGCUUUCUGUGCAAAGUGGCAGGUGCAGAGUGGAGCCCGCUAAGAGAAGGAUGUGUGCUGCAGGCCGGAGGGAAAGAACAGUGCAGAAGCCAGUCAGAAUUGUGGGGUUUGCUGUUUGCCCUCCUGAGUUGUGGGCUCCAUAGUUAUGAUAUUGCCAUGAGUUUCAGAGGAGCUGGAACAAGGAAAGUACAGGAUAGCCAAAAGAACUUACUAUCUCAAAGUAGAAGGAAGAAGUCAAAGAAUAAAGGAACUCCGAAGACAAAGAGUGGACCCAGAGAAGUAUGAAGACCUUGAUCUUCACAAUAAUAAUUACUACAGAAUGAUAAAUCAUUGAAUAAAUACUACAAACACACGACUAUGUCAGAUGUGGGAAUUAGAUGCUAGUUCAUAAAGAUGGAAGGAAUAAUUCAUUAGAUAAAUCAGUCAUCGGCAGCAAUGGUGGUAAUAAUUAAACUGAGAAAUAUCUAUGGAUGAAAAUUAAGUGGGUGAAGAUCUGAAAUGAUAUUUACAUAAUGUGAGAGAAGUAGUUCUCAUAACAUAUUUGUGUGUUAAGAAGAAAACAAGCUUAGCAUUUGGAAAGGUCUGGCAGGCAGUAUCUUAGCCCAAUUACAGACUUAACUCCAAGGAAACACAACAAAAAGCAGCUGCCAGGGCUGGGAAGAUGCACAAAACCUCCUAGAAAAGGUGGGCGUUCAAUCCCAUAGCAAUGUAAAACCAAGUAGGCUCAAUUUGGGGACAGAGUGCAGAUAACUGGCCCUAUGUUUUCAAAAUAUCAAGGUCAAGAUGGUUGAAAACGACCAGAGAAAGCAUUUCAGGAUACUAUGACAUUGUUGGCCAACCUUGCAUCUUCUGUGAAGUGGUUGCUGCAGCCUGGAUGGAGGCUGAGGGUAAGGGAUGAUGAUGUGUCAAUGUUAAUUUUCUGGUUUUGAUAGGUUUAUUAUGGCUGUGCUAAAUGACAUUCCUGUUUGAAGGAAAUUCACACUAAACUGUCAGAAGAGCUGUUAAGACAGCACAUAUAUAAAUUACUCGGAGAUUGUUAGGAAUCUAUAUCACACUUGCAAUUUUUCUCUAAGUUUGAAUUUUCUAACUGACAAUUAUUUAAGUACUGGUGGCAUAGUUAAGUGGUUACUUCAGAGGACUCGAUAUUAGAUCUAUGUUAGAUGCCUCAUAGCCAUUCAUAACUUUAGUUUCAGGAGAUCUAAUGCCCAUGGGUACCUGCAU
ensembl:lncRNA LOC120100783 uncharacterized LOC120100783